rnacentral:rRNA from 1 species
UACAGAGGGUGCGAGCGUUAAUCGGAAUUACUGGGCGUAAAGGGUGCGCAGGCGGCCGUGUGUGUGAGGCGUGAAAGCCCGGGGCUUAACCCCGGAAUUGCACCUCAAACUAUACGGCUAGAGCAUUGGAGAGGGUAGCAGAAUUCAUGGUGUAGCAGUGAAAUGCGUAGAUAUCAUGAGGAAUACCAGAGGCGAAGGCGGCUACCUGGACAAUUGCUGACGCUCAGGCACGAAAGCGUGGGGAGCAAAAGGG